rnacentral:rRNA from 1 species
AGAGUUUGAUCAUGGCUCAGAUUGAACGCUGGCGGCAUGCCUUACACAUGCAAGUCGAACGGCAGCACGGGGGCAACCCUGGUGGCGAGUGGCGAACGGGUGAGUAACAUAUCGGAACGUGCCCUGGAGUGGGGGAUAACUAGUCGAAAGAUUAGCUAAUACCGCAUACGAUCUACGGAUGAAAGUGGGGGAUCGCAAGACCUCAUGCUCGUGGAGCGGCCGAUAUCUGAUUAGCUAGUUGGUGGGGUAAAGGCCUACCAAGGCAUCGAUCAGUAGCUGGUCUGAGAGGACGACCAGCCACACUGGGACUGAGACACGGCCCAGACUCCUACGGGAGGCAGCAGUGGGGAAUUUUGGACAAUGGGCGCAAGCCUGAUCCAGCAAUGCCGCGUGAGUGAAGAAGGCCUUCGGGUUGUAAAGCUCUUUUGUCAGGGAAGAAACGGUGGAGGUUAAUACCUUCUGCUAAUGACGGUACCUGAAGAAUAAGCACCGGCUAACUACGUGCCAGCAGCCGCGGUAAUACGUAGGGUGCAAGCGUUAAUCGGAAUUACUGGGCGUAAAGCGUGCGCAGGCGGUUGUGCAAGACAGAUGUGAAAUCCCCGGGCUCAACCUGGGAAUUGCAUUUGUGACUGCACGGCUAGAGUGUGUCAGAGGGGGGUAGAAUUCCACGUGUAGCAGUGAAAUGCGUAGAGAUGUGGAG